CAUGGGCGGCAGCUACACAUGCAGUCGAACGGUAACAGGAAGCAGCUUGCUGCUUUGCUGACGAGUGGCGGACGGGUGAGUAAUGUCUGGGAAACUGCCUGAUGGAGGGGGAUAACUACUGGAAACGGUGGCUAAUACCGCAUAACGUCGCAAGACCAAAGAGGGGGACCUUCGGGCCUCUUGCCAUCAGAUGUGCCCAGAUGGGAUUAGCUUGUUGGUGAGGUAACGGCUCACCAAGGCGACGAUCCCUAGCUGGUCUGAGAGGAUGACCAGCCACACUGGAACUGAGACACGGUCCAGACUCCUACGGGAGGCAGCAGUGGGGAAUAUUGCACAAUGGGCGCAAGCCUGAUGCAGCCAUGCCGCGUGUAUGAAGAAGGCCUUCGGGUUGUAAAGUACUUUCAGCGGGGAGGAAGGUGUUGUGGUUAAUAACCACAGCAAUUGACGUUACCCGCAGAAGAAGCACCGGCUAACUCCGUGCCAGCAGCCGCGGUAAUACGGAGGGUGCAAGCGUUAAUCGGAAUUACUGGGCGUAAAGCGCACGCAGGCGGUCUGUCAAGUCGGAUGUGAAAUCCCCGGGCUCAACCUGGGAACUGCAUUCGAAACUGGCAGGCUUGAGUCUUGUAGAGGGGGGUAGAAUUCCAGGUGUAGCGGUGAAAUGCGUAGAGAUCUGGAGGAAUACCGGUGGCGAAGGCGGCCCCCUGGACAAAGACUGACGCUCAGGUGCGAAAGCGUGGGGAGCAAACAGGAUUAGAUACCCUGGUAGUCCACGCCGUAAACGAUGUCUACUUGGAGGUUGUGCCCUUGAGGCGUGGCUUCCGGAGCUAACGCGUUAAGUAGACCGCCUGGGGAGUACGGCCGCAAGGUUAAAACUCAAAUGAAUUGACGGGGGCCCGCACAAGCGGUGGAGCAUGUGGUUUAAUUCGAUGCAACGCGAAGAACCUUACCUGGUCUUGACAUCCACAGAACUUUUCAGAGAUGGAAAGGUGCCUUCGGGAACUGUGAGACAGGUGCUGCAUGGCUGUCGUCAGCUCGUGUUGUGAAAUGUUGGGUUAAGUCCCGCAACGAGCGCAACCCUUAUCCUUUGUUGCCAGCGGUCAGGCCGGGAACUCAAAGGAGACUGCCAGUGAUAAACUGGAGGAAGGUGGGGAUGACGUCAAGUCAUCAUGGCCCUUACGACCAGGGCUACACACGUGCUACAAUGGCGCAUACAAAGAGAAGCGACCUCGCGAGAGCAAGCGGACCUCAUAAAGUGCGUCGUAGUCCGGAUUGGAGUCUGCAACUCGACUCCAUGAAGUCGGAAUCGCUAGUAAUCGUGGAUCAGAAUGCCACGGUGAAUACGUUCCCGGGCCUUGUACACACCGCCCGUCACACCAUGGGAGUGGGUUGCAAAAGAAGUAGGUAGCUUAACCUUCGGGAGGGCGCUACCACUUGAUAGCA
rnacentral:rRNA from 1 species